rnacentral:hammerhead_ribozyme from 1 species
AUCCAGCUGACAAGUUCUAAAUAGGGUGAAACGCGCUUUCUGGAU